CGGAGCAAUUAGAUCUCUGUGUGCAGGCAGCCUGCUUGUUCAAGUGCACCGGUCAAAAUACCAUACAACAGUUUGGACAGAGCGCCCAGUUGGCUACACAACAACAGUGCUGGAAAACAAUGACAAUUUCUCUAAACUUCGAAAAGAUUUGACUGCUAAGUGGUAGUCCCUGUUCUCCUUCAUUCUUGUUUUACUUUUGUACGUAAAGCGGUGGUUUGUUGUGGAGAAGAACGUCAAGGAAAAUUUUCUAGCUAGCUAACGUUAGCUGGCUAAUUUUAGCUAGCUAACGUUAGCUCACUGGCUAAUCCUCCAUGGACCUAGGAUCUUCUAUGAUGGAAGAUUGGAGGAGGGAACAAACGGAAGGAGUACAGUAGUUAUCCAGCCUGCUGACUAAGAAAUUUCUUGAAACAUGUCAAUGACCUCAAGCAUGGCCUCAAUAGCAGUACUUGGCCAAGUUACCAGUGACCUAUUCCGCCACAUCGCAGGGAAAGGAGAGAGCAGAAACACCCCUCCUUAAAUCCAUAGUCAUUGACUAAGUUUAGUGUGCAAAAUGGGUUUUUUUCUUCAGUUUGAUCCUCUGAUCUUCAAUGUGUAUUGAUUCCUUCUAACCAGCUUUGUAAGAGCUAGGUUUGUACAAGCUAUGCUGAUGAUCAUUAAAUGUUUUUUCUCUGCAUCAGGUCUCACUGAGACUGGAUUCCCCAAGAUACAUGAUAUUCAGCUGCCCAUGAUUGCCUGAUCUUACACUCUUAGCACCUUUCUUGCUAUCUAGAACCUAAAAAGGUUAAUCCACUGUCCGCAUAGGAGAACCCUUUGAAGAACCCUUUUUGGUUCCAUGUAGAACCCUUUUGGUUCCGGGUAGAACUAUGGGGACAGCCGAAAAACCAUUUUGGAACCAUUUUUUCUAAGAGUGUAGUGUAACUAGAUCCAAUUGAAACAGCACCGCUUUAAAUAAUAUGUUUGUAAAGAAAAUAAAAUCCUAUUUUAACUCAACUUUUUUUCGGGUGGAAAACCCAUUCAACAGACACCUCCCUUGGUGAAUCAUGCGAAGUUUUUUCCAUUUCUCUCUUGCUCAUUCUCCAUGUCCCUCACUCAAACACAUGUGCAGUUGCAGAGAAGAGGAAUAGAUUUGACAAAAACACAGUUUUCUAACAAUGUUUGUUGCAGGAAUGAUAUGACAGACACUUUUAAAAUAUAUAAUUUUAUUGUCUCUUUAUUUCCUCUAUACACAUACUUACAUUUUUGCAUUUACUUU